rnacentral:rRNA from 1 species
GACGAACGCUGGCGGCGUGCUUAACACAUGCAAGUCGAACGGAAAGGCCCUGCUUUUGUGGUGUGCUCGAGUGGCGAACGGGUGAGUAACACGUGAGUAACCUGCCCUUGACUUUGGGAUAACUUCAGGAAACUGGGGCUAAUACCGGAUAGGAGCUCCUGUUGCAUGGUGGGGGUUGGAACGUUUCGGCGGUUGGGGAUGGACUCGCGGCUUAUCAGCUUGUUGGUGGGGUAGUGGCUUACCCAGGCUUUGACGGGUAGCUGGCCUGGGAGGGUGACCGGCGACAUUGGGACUGAGGUACGGCCCAGGCGCGUACGGGGGGAAACGGGGGGAAAGAUUGCCCAAGGGGCGAGAGCCGGAUGAAGAAACGCCGCGGGUGGGAUGACCGCCUUGGGGUUAAAAACCGCUUUCGCCUGAGACCAAGCGUGAGUGACGGUAAUGAAAAAAGAAGCACCGGCUAACUACGUG